rnacentral:ncRNA from 1 species
AUCUUCAGGGCAGGGAGCAUUUCCCGACCGGCGGUAAAGUCCGCGAGCCGAAAGGCAUGAACCGGUGUGAUUCCGGUACCGACAGUAUAGUCUGGAUGGUAGAAGAUG